rnacentral:rRNA from 1 species
GACGAACGCUGGCGGCGUGCUUAACACAUGCAAGUCGAACGAAGUGGCGAACGGGUGAGUAACGCGUAAUCAACCUGCCCUUCCGAGGGGGAUAACAGUUGGAAACGACUGCUAAUACCGCAUACUGAAGGAGGGGAUUGCGUCUGAUUCGCUAGUUGGAGGGGUAACGUCCCACCACGGCGAUGAUCAGUAGCCUGUAUGAGAGGAUGAACGGCCAAAUGGGGACUGGGGCAAGGCCCAGACGCCUACGGGAGGCAGCAGUGGGGACUCUGCCGCAAUGGACGAAAGUCGGACGGAGCAACGACGGGUGAGUGAGGACGGCCUUCGGGUUGUAAAGCUCUGUUAAUCGGGACGCGGUACCGGAAUAGAAAGCCACGGCUAACUACGUGCCAGCAGCCGCGGGAAUAC